rnacentral:rRNA from 1 species
AACCUUUACACUGCACGACAGUGCGAUAAGGGAAUCCCAAGUGCGUAGGCAUAGAGCCUACGCUUUUGUCCACCGUAGGGAGGUGGACGAAUAAGGGCUGGGCAAGACCGGUGCCAGCCGCCGCGGUAAUACCGGCAGCCCGAGUGAUGGCCGAUCUUAUUGGGCCUAAAGCGUCCGUAGCUGGCCGCGCAAGUCUAUCGGAAAAUCCACCCGCUCAACGGGUGGGCGUCCGGUAGAAACUGCGUGGCUUGGGACCGGAAGGCGCGACGGGUACGUCCGGGGUAGGAGUGAAAUCCCGUAAUCCUGGACGGACCGCCGAUGGCGAAAGCACGUCGCGAAGACGGAUCCGACAGUGAGGGACGAAAGCUAGGGUCUCGAACCGGAUUAUAUACCCGGGUAGUCCUAGCCGUAAACAAUGCCUGCUAGGUGUGGCUCCCACUACGAGUGGGUGCUGUGCCGUAGGGAAGCUGCUAAGCAGGCCGCUUGGUAAGUACGUCCGCUAGGAUGAAACUUAA